rnacentral:lncRNA from 1 species
UGGUUUUCUACGGUUUAAAAUGGAAUUUAGAAUUAAAUUAUAAGAAAUGACUAUAACAUUUUUUCUGUCUAUUCGAAAUAACAUAAAAAAUGUGGUGCACACUGUAAAUAACCCGCUAUGCGCGUUAUUCAGUGUGCACCAAAUUUGUUAUGUUAUUUCUUCAUAGACAGAAAAAAAUAUUACAGUCAUUCCUUAAAUGUU